ensembl:lncRNA
CAAAUUACCUUCCAUUAACUUCCCCACCUGUAGCGGCGCAGUGUGUAGACUUGUCAGAGGUCUGGUGCACUGAAUUACAGCACAGGCAAUAUGGAAGUGUCUUAUGAAUGUGUUCUCCUUGCAUUAUCAUCACCGCCCAGUCGUAUAUGUUGACGUUGUUUGGGAUGUACUCAAACCAGCGUUGUUUUCAACACAGAGCUGUGAUUCAGUGAAAUGUAUUGUAUGUGGAUGGGGGUAGUAACGCCCAGCAGACACGAUAUGUGCAGUGUCAGCACCAUUAACAAUCCAGGGUGCAAACAGGUAGGGCCGAGGGUCUCUUGGUGUUAUUUAUUCUUAACGGAGAAAAACUAAUGUGAAAACGUCUGAAAAGCAACAAGAAGAUUGGCUUGUGGGGCCGGAAGAGAAUGCACCUGGGUCUGAUGGAGAAUAGCAAUACCAUAUAUAUAAAAUAUACAUUACAUACAUAUAGGACAGUCAGAGUUUACCAUGACUAUUUAAGAAACUUUAAGGCAUUAUCCACCAAUAACAGACCAUAAUAGCAUAGUGUUGUGUAUGAAAUGCACCGUUAUAUCAUGACAGGGAUGGGAGAAACUAGAAGAGGAGGCGGGAGAUGAUCUACAUCGGCCUACAAAAAGGCAGAACUACGUCUUAAAACAUGUCGCAAGCAGAAGGGAAAUAAACGAUUAGCGGUGAGGACAGUGGUUAAUAAGUGAAGUUUGAUAAAAACCACCCCGCCUGAGCAAUAAUAUAGAGCAAUAAUGUCUCGUGGUGAACUGCACCGGCAGGACAACAGUCCGCUCGAUGCUUCUGCGCGUGUCGGUCCGUCUGCAUGCAGUAAAACAAAAAAAAGCCCCGUGAGGGGAGGAGGCAUCACCGGGGGUAACGUUCCGCCUGCACCGCGGAGCCGCACAAAUCAAAGUCUACACAAAACAACAACGUCGGACUCCCGAAAGUUGCGAGACGAACGUGCGCGCGGCGAGUCGCGAGCUGGCGGCCGUUGGCGGUGCGGAGUUUAACGGCCGUUUGCGUCGGCCGGCUCGAGACGUGACGGUGGGGCGCAAAAAAAAAAAAAAAGGAAGAAAAAAAA